rnacentral:tRNA from 1 species
GGAGAGAUGCGAGAGUGGUUGAAUCGGGCGGUCUCGAAAACCGUUGAACUCGCAAGAGUUCCGGGGGUUCGAAUCCCCCUCUCUCCG